CCUACGGGAGGCAGCAGUGAGGAAUAUUGGUCAAUGGACGAGAGUCUGAACCAGCCAAGUAGCGUGCAGGAUGACUGCCCUAUGGGUUGUAAACUUCUUUUAUACAGGAAUAAAACGAGUUACGUGUGCCUUUUUGCAUGUACUUUAUGAAUAAGGACCGGCUAAUUCCGUGCCAGCAGCCGCGGUAAUACGGAGGAUCCGAGCGUUAUCCGGAUUUAUUGGGUUUAAAGGGAGCGUAGAUGGGUUGUUAAGUCAGUUGUGAAAGUUUGCGGCUCAACCGUGAAAUUGCAACUGAUACUGGCAGGCUUGAGUACAGUUGAGGUAGGCGGAAUUCGUGGUGUAGCGGUGAAAUGCUUAGAUAUCACGAAGAACCCCGAUUGCGAAGGCAGCUUACUAAACUGUGACUGACGUUGAUGCUCGAAAGUGUGGGUAUCAAACAGGAUUAGAUACCCGUGUAGUC
rnacentral:rRNA from 1 species